UGCAAGUCCAACGGUAACAGCACUUCGGUGGCUGACGAGUGGCGAACGGGUGAGUAAUACAUCGGAACGUGCCUAGUAGUGGGGGAUAACUACUCGAAAGAGUAGCUAAUACCGCAUGAGAUCUACGGAUGAAAGCAGGGGACCUUCGGGCCUUGUGCUACUAGAGCGGCUGAUGGCAGAUUAGGUAGUUGGUGGGGUAAAGGCUCACCAAGCCAACGAUCUGUAGCUGGUCUGAGAGGACGACCAGCCACACUGGAACUGAGACACGGUCCAGACUCCUACGGGAGGCAGCAGUGGGGAAUUUUGGACAAUGGGCGCAAGCCUGAUCCAGCAAUGCCGCGUGCAGGAUGAAGGCCUUCGGGUUGUAAACUGCUUUUGUACAGAACGAAAAGUCUUGGGUUAAUACCCUGGGACCAUGACGGUACUGUAAGAAUAAGCACCGGCUAACUACGUGCCAGCAGCCGCGGUAAUACGUAGGGUGCAAGCGUUAAUCGGAAUUACUGGGCGUAAAGCGUGCGCAGGCGGUUAUGUAAGACAGAGGUGAAAUCCCCGGGCUCAACCUGGGAACGGCCUUUGUGACUGCAUAGCUAGAGUACGGUAGAGGGGGAUGGAAUUCCGCGUGUAGCAGUGAAAUGCGUAGAUAUGCGGAGGAACACCGAUGGCGAAGGCAAUCCCCUGGACCUGUACUGACGCUCAUGCACGAAAGCGUGGGGAGCAAACAGGAUUAGAUACCCUGGUAGUCCACGCCCUAAACGAUGUCAACUGGUUGUUGGGUCUUAACUGACUCAGUAACGAAGCUAACGCG
rnacentral:rRNA from 1 species